GGAGGGGUUCCCGAGUGGCCAAAGGGGGCAGACUGUAAAUCUGUUGGCUCAGCCUUCGAUGGUUCGAAUCCAUCUCCCUCCACCA
rnacentral:tRNA from 2 species